UUUUUUUUUUUUUUUCCCCUUUCUUGGCCUGCACGGUUUGUGCGUCAGCCAUGUACAAAAGUUAGGAAGUGCAUUAUUAGGUUUAUUGGAUAGGAAAUUAGUACGGAAUUUGGAAAAGGAUCAGAUAAAUUUUAUUAUAAAUAAAAGGACAGAAAUAGAAGUAGGAAAAGAAAUAUUUAUGUAUAAAAGCGGAACGGUCAUGUCUAUUACAGGCAAAAAAUAUAUGGUUAAAACCCCCAACGUCAUUGCCACACUCAAAUGUGUCGUCAGGCAAAAGGUUUAAGCCUUGCCAAAUGCAAGGGUAUGCAUGCAUGGCCCAGCCUCAUACGUAUAAGGGUCGAAGUAAUAUCUUUACCAAGCGUCAAAGUAGAAGUGGAAGGGUGAGACUUCGUGCUAUCCGAACAGUCUGUAUCGAUAAUGGAACCUUCCGUUUCCAUUCCAGACGCAUCGAUUGUAACUACAUGAGACACCUGGAGGGAUGUCCCUCCAGGGUCUUCGGGCUCCAUCAUGGACGACAAGAGAAAAAUUCUAAUCUACAUAUAAUAAAAUAAAAUAACUUACCAGGCUAUUAAGACAAACUAAAAAUAUAAAUAAUCAACAAUAACUACUACUAUAUACACCUUAAACUUAACUGAUCCUGUAUUAUUAUAUGAAUUUAAUUUUUAAAAGUUAAGCCAAAAAAAAGACGCCCGCCUAUUUUUACACUUCCCG